rnacentral:rRNA from 1 species
CGACGUUUACUGUGAAAAAAUUAGAGUGUUCAAAGCAGGCGAUUGCUGUGAAUACAUUAGCAUGGGAUAUUGGAAGAAGCUUUGGCGCAUUCGUUGGUUGAUGAGCUGGAAGCAUGGUCAAGAGGAACGGUCGGGGGCACUCGUAUUUCAUUGUCAGAGGUGAAAUUCUUGGA